UUUUCUCUUACACCUUCUACAUCUUCAGGUUCAGCGGCUGCCCUCAAAGGGAAUACCGGUGAGAUUCAAUUAUUAAUUGUUUGUUUAACUAAAAGUCAAUCAAGACUGUUUCGGGCUUUCCUGUAGGACAAUUAAAACAGGGAAUCGAUCCGUGAGCAAUUAUGCACGCUGCCACUGGAUUCAUUCGCUUUUUAAACAAUA